rnacentral:rRNA from 1 species
CAGCCGCCGCGGUAAGACAGAGGAUGCAAGCGUUAUCCGGAAUGAUUGGGCGUAAAGGGCUCGCAGGCGGUUUCUUAAGUCUGAUGUGAAAGCCCCCGGCUCAACCGGGGAGGGUCAUUGGAAACUGGGAAACUUGAGUGCAGAAGAGGAGAGUGGAAUUCCACGUGUAGCGGUGAAAUGCGUAGAGAUGUGGAGGAACACCAGUGGCGAAGGCGACUCUCUGGUCUGUAACUGACGCUGAGGAGCGAAAGCGUGGGGAGCGAACAGGAUUAGAUACCCCCGUAGUCCCUGUCUCUUAUAC